rnacentral:rRNA from 1 species
GUUACUCGAAUGAGAUUUAAGCAUAUCAAUAAGCGGAGGA